rnacentral:rRNA from 1 species
AGUGAACGCUGGCGGUAGGCCUAACACAUGCAAGUCGAACGGCAGCACAGAGGAGCUUGCUCCUUAGGUGGCGAGUGGCGGACGGGCGAGGAAUACAUCGGAAUCUACUCUGUCGUGGGGGAUAACGUAGGGAAACUUACGCUAAUACCGCAUACGACCUACGGGUGAAAGCAGGGGAUCUUCGGACCUUGCGCGAUUGAAUGAGCCGAUGCCGGAUUAGCUAGUUGGCGGGGUAAAGGCCCACCAAGGCGACGAUCCGUAGCUGGUCUGAGAGGAUGAGCAGCCACACUGGAACUGAGACACGGUCCAGACUCCUACGGGAGGCAGCAGUGGGGAAUAUUGGACAAUGGGCGCAAGCCUGAUCCAGCCAUACCGCGUGGGUGAAGAAGGCCUUCGGGUUGUAAAGCCCUUUUGUUGGGAAAGAAAUCCAUCUGGUUAAUACCCGGGUGGGAUGACGGUACCCAAAGAAUAAGCACCGGCUAACUUCGUGCCAGCAGCCGCCGUAA